UACGAUGGGGGCGAGCGUUGUUCGGAAUUAUUGGGCGUAAAGGGCGCGUAGGCGGUCGGAUAAGUCUUGUGUGAAAUCUUCGGGCUCAACUCGAAGUCUGCACAGGAAACUAUCUGGCUUGAGUGUGGGAGAGGUGAGUGGAAUUCCUGGUGUAGCGGUGAAAUGCGUAGAUAUCAGGAGGAACACCUGUGGCGAAAGCGGCUCACUGGACCACAACUGACGCUGAGGCGCGAAAGCUAGGGGAGCAAACAGG
rnacentral:rRNA from 1 species